CUCAAAGAUUCCGUGUGAGGUAGUGUAUCAGCAGAAGGUGUGGAUUUUUCUGUCUCGUGAAACAAACAUUCCAUUUUCCUUGCCGUCGCGUUGGCGACCGAAAAGGAUUCCAGAAAAAGAAAGAACCGGCCACCGAAGACAGAAGGAAACCCGCAAACAGGCAAGAAAACCGGGAAAUGAUGGUGCACCAGGCCGCCGAGAGACGCGGGUGAAGACCACCUCGGGAGCUCAGGUUCGCCUCGUGCUCCAGAGAAGCUGUAGAGCAGAACCAGGCAACGGCGGUGACGGUCUCGGCUGUGCCUCCGGUGACGUCAUCACUUCUUCCUGAAGAUUGCAACUUCCGGCGGAUGAACUGAAGAAGUUACUUGGCUCGGUGGUGAGUAAAUCUCGA